rnacentral:rRNA from 1 species
GACGAACGCUGGCGGCGUGCUUAACACAUGCAAGUCGAACGAAGAGCGAUGGAAGCUUGCUUCUAUCAAUCUUAGUGGCGAACGGGUGAGUAACGCGUAAUCAACCUGCCCUUCAGAGGGGGACAACAGUUGGAAACGACUGCUAAUACCGCAUACGAUCUAAUCUCGGCAUCGAGGAUAGAUGAAAGGUGGCCUCUACAUGUAAGCUAUCACUGAAGGAGGGGAUUGCGUCUGAUUAGCUAGUUGGAGGGGUAACGGCCCACCAAGGCGAUGAUCAGUAGCCGGUCUGAGAGGAUGAACGGCCACAUUGGGACUGAGACACGGCCCAGACUCCUACGGGAGGCAGCAGUGGGGAAUCUUCCGCAAUGGACGAAAGGCUGACGGAGCAACGCCGCGGGAGUGAUGACGGCCUUCGGGUUGUAAAGCUCUGUUAAUCGGGACGAAAGGCCUUCUUGCGAACAGUUAGAAGGAUUGACGGUACCGGAAUAGAAAGCCACGGCUAACUACGUG